rnacentral:tRNA from 1 species
AGUAGCUCAGCGGUGGAGCACUCGGCUGUUAACCGAUAGGUCGUAGGUUCGAAUCCUACCU